GACAGAGGGUGCAAACGUUGUUCGGAAUUACUGGGCGUAAAGCGCGUGUAGGCUGCUCGGAAAGUCGGAUGUGAAAGCCCUGGGCUCAACCUAGGAAGUGCAUUCGAAACUUCCGAGCUGGAGUGCUGGAGAGGAAGGCGGAAUUCUCGGUGUAGAGGUGAAAUUCGUAGAUAUCGAGAGGAACACCGGUGGCGAAGGCGGCCUUCUGGACAGCUACUGACGCUGAGGCGCGAAAGCUAGGGGAGCAAACAGG
rnacentral:rRNA from 1 species